rnacentral:rRNA from 1 species
UACGUAGGUGGCAAGCGUUGUCCGGAUUUAUUGGGUUUAAAGGGUGCGUAGGCGGCUUUGUAAGUCAGUGGUGAAAUAUGGCAGCUCAACUGUCAGGGUGCCAUUGAUACUGCAGAGCUUGAGUACAGAUGAGGUAGGCGGAAUUGAUGGUGUAGCGGUGAAAUGCAUAGAUAUGACCCGGAACACCGAUUGCGAAGGCAGCCUACUAAGCAAUUAUUGACGCUGAGGCACGAAAGCGUGGGGAUCAAACAGG